GGGGGGGGGGGGGGGGGGGGGGAUCGUUAAUCACUCCCCCAAUCUUUCCCAAACUCGGCCCAAUAACCGCCACCCCGCCGCCGGAGCCGUCAAAAUCUCCCGAUCGAACGACGGGGGCGGCGCGACGAUUCCGCCGCCCGUGCCCCAAUGGAAGAUUCGCGUCCUCGGUGGGGAAUCGGAUUCGAGUUCGAGAGGUGCAGUGCAGGGGAAGCAAAAACCAUAGCGAGAAGCUUCCAGCGGAUCAAAGGAAUGCGGAUAGGCAAGGGAAG
rnacentral:lncRNA from 1 species